GACAGAGGGGGCAAGCGUUGCUCGGAAUCACUGGGCGUAAAGGGCGCGUAGGCGGGAUGGCAAGUCGGUCGUGAAAUCCUUCGGCUCAACCGAAGAACGUCGGCCGAUACUGCCGUUCUUGAGGGAUGCAGAGGAGAUUGGAAUUCCCGGUGUAGUGGUGAAAUGUGUAGAGAUCGGGAGGAACACAGGUGGCGAAGGCGGGUCUCUGGGCAUCUCCUGACGCUGAGGCGCGAAAGCGUGGGGAGCAAACGGG
rnacentral:rRNA from 1 species